rnacentral:lncRNA from 1 species
AUUAUAGGUAAAUCAGAAAAGCUCCUGAAAUAAUAGACACAUCGAAAAGAAUAUGGAUAAUGGAAGAUAUGCUGGACUUGACAUCAAAUCAGAAGACCAGAAUUUGAAGAUCUGCCCUCAGCACACAGCACAGAAAGGGAGAACCAGUGUGGACUGGACACAUCCCCUACCAAGUUUCUCAAAGCAGAAAUAAAAAACAGGCUAUGAGAUCCAGUGAACAACUCCCCCAGGUCACAGAGCCUCACAGGAGCAGGUUAAAUGAGGUUGAAAAUUGCUCCUGUGGGUCCCUGCCAGAGAGAUCAGACAGCCAACAUCUCGGACAGCCCAUGGGGUUGCUGAAAGGCAAGACUGGAGAAGGCCCCACAUGGCCCACCUCUCCUUGUUCCCAGAGCUGCAGUGCCCACCCUGUAGCAUCUGUCACCUCUUCUGGAUCCCUUCCUGUCUCUCCAUCCUGAGUUCUUCCCGGAGAGGCAGUGUGAGGAGUACCAACCUGGACCCUGCUGCCGAAGGAAUGCAAAUCCUGACUCUGCCCUUUGCAGCAUAGCCUUGGACAAGCUGAGGACCUGCCCCUUCCCUGCCUCAUCCUCCUCUAUAAACUGAGGAUAGUAACAGCACACCUCACCCCGUCACAAGGAUUAAAUGAGUCAAUAUGUACCUAGGGCUGGGAGGCUGCCUCGCAUAGAGCAAGGGUGAAGCAAAUGCGAUUAGCCAUUAUCACAAUAGCAGCCUUCCUGGAUCUCUCUCUCCUCUGAACACCAUACUCUCCCCACAACACACACACACUCUAGAGUUCUAAAAGGGCUGAGUUUUGUUGCACUUCCAUGCAACUUCCUCUGAAAAGGACUGAUCUUUGAAAUGCUAAGGAUUAUCCUCAGUAUUGGUGAUUAUGAUUCCUUUUUUUUCCCUCAGCACUAUGGGUUAAACCCAGGGCCUUCACACUGAGCUACAUCCCCAGCCUUCUUUUUAUUUUCCAUCUUGACACAGGGUCUCACUAGGUUGUGACACUACUCAGGCUAGGCUUGAAAUUAGAAUCCCCUUGCCUCGGCCUCCAGAGUGCUGAGAUUCCAAGUGCGCAUCAUGGUGCCCGGCUCUGGAAUACAUUUUCUCAUCUCUCUGCUCACCUGGACUGGCUAACUCCAGUCAUUGCUCAAUGCUCAAUUCAGAUUACCUUUUUUUUUUUAGUACUGGGGAUCAAAUUUGGGGCAUUGCGCUUGCGAGGCAGGCGGCAGAACCACUGAGCUAAAUCCCCAGCCCUUCAGAUUACCUUUUGAAGAAGCUUUCCUUUCUACCCUAAACUUAGGUCAGGCAUCUUUCCAAUCAGGAUCACUGCUGGUCCUAGAGGGCCUUCCUGUGGGUUUCCAAAUGGCUCCCCUUCCUCUGGAUAGCACAUGUCAUGAGGAGCACAGCAAGGACUGGAUUUUGGCCUCUACUCACCCCUUCAUCACUUGAGUAGCCACACUACCUAACAGCACACCCUGCCCUCCUCCAGUGCACAGCCAUUGCACUGAUUACACCCCUGUGAUCCUCCUUUGACUUCCUGUAUCCCUCAGCAGGCCCUGAACUCUGCUGGGGCAGGACCACAAUGACUCCACACAAAGCUUCUAAUACUCAGUACCUCACACAGCAUGUAACAAGUGGCUAAUAAGUAUUUGUUGAAUACAUAAAUGGACCGUGUUAGAACAGGACCACGAGCCUUGUAUCCUUUCCUUUCCUUGGGGUUUUCCUAUCUUCCACAGUGUCCCAAAAGAAACAAAAAGC